UACGUAGGGUGCGAGCGUUGCUCGGAAUCACUGGGCGUAAAGGGCGUGUAGGCGGGAAGGAAAGUCAGAUGUGAAAUCCCUGGGCUCAACCCAGGAACUGCAUUUGAAACUCCCUUUCUUGAGUGUCGGAGAGGAAAGCGGAAUUCCUGGUGUAGAGGUGAAAUUCGUAGAUAUCAGGAGGAACACCGGUGGCGAAGGCGGCUUUCUGGACGACAACUGACGCUGAGACGCGAAAGCGUGGGGAGCAAACAGG
rnacentral:rRNA from 1 species